UAUGAAGGGGGCUAGCGUUGUUCGGAAUUACUGGGCGUAAAGCGCACGUAGGCGGCCUUGUAAGAUGGGGGUGAAAUCCCCGGGCUCAACCCGGGAACUGCCUUCAUGACUGCAAAGCUUGAGGAUGCGAGAGGUUAGCGGAAUUCCGAGUGUAGAGGUGAAAUUCGUAGAUAUUCGGAAGAACACCAGUGGCGAAGGCGGCUAACUGGCGCAUUUCUGACGCUGAGGUGCGAAAGCGUGGGGAGCAAACAGG
rnacentral:rRNA from 1 species